AGCCGAGGCCAAGCCGAGCCGAGCCACAAGCCGAGCCGAGCCGAGACCAAGCCGAGCCGAGCCGAGGUGGAGCCGAGCCGAGCCGAGCCGAGCGCCUUCAAGCCGAGCCGAGCUCCUUGUUUCACCAAGCCACCUAAGCUUUCCUUCCUCCGCUCCGGGUCACGGUGAGUCUUCGGUAAGGAUUGUUUUCGAUGAAUUCCAUAAUGUUACCUCGUCCGAUUUGAGUUUGAAUGUUGAAUUAAGUUUUGGCCCUACUUCUCUCCCUUGAAGGUAGUGCAGAGUUGACGCUUAAGUUCUCGGGUUCCGCGACAGACCUGGUUGGAGAUAGCUUCCUUUCCUUGGGUGGAUCUGUUGAGCGUAGUUUUCAAUCGAGGGGCAUCACCGAGUUCCAGGUAGGGGUACAGCGAGGGGCAGACCGACGAGAGGCAGGAAGGAUGCGUGAAG